UGUGCCAUCUGCCCAGCCCCGUGAGGAAAGUCGUCCGAUGCUCACGACUCUUCCAGGAUGAGACUGGACUGAUUCAGGGGAUCGAGCUCAGGACCUUGUACUUGUGAGACGGGCACUGGAACCACUGAGCUAUGUCCCUGGCCCACGGUGGCUUUCCUCACCCGCUUCUCUAAGAUCUUCUAUCAGUUGGGGACAAUGCAUGAUAAAGGCCACUCUUUCCAGGAAUCAUGGGGACGCUGCCUUUGAAAGAAUUCCCUAACUGAGGCAAGAAGUAUGGAAUUUUGACAUCCCAGUUCUACUAUAUCUGUACACGACAAGAGCAAUCAAGAGUCCCGAACCGGAGACCUGGAGACCACAUACCUUGGUUUUAGUUUGGGUUUGGAAGAUGAAAACUGAGAGCCCCUC